rnacentral:rRNA from 1 species
GACGAACGCUGGCGGCGUGCCUAAUACAUGCAAGUAGAACGCACAGUUUAUACCGUAGCUUGCUACACAAUAAACUGUGAGUUGCGAACGGGUGAGUAACGCGUAGCUAAACUGCCUGGUAGCGGGGGAUAACUAUUGGAAACGAUAGCUAAUACCGCAUAAUAUUAAUUAUUGCAUGAUAAUUGAUUGAAAGAUGCAAUUGCAUCACUACCAGAUGGACCUGCGUUGUAUUAGCUAGUAGGUGAGGUAACGGCUCAUCUAGGCGCCGAUACAUAGCCGACCGGGGAGGGUGAGCGGCCAAACUGGGACGGAGACACGGCCCAGACGCCUACGGGAGGCAGCAGGAGGGGAUCGUCAGCAAGGGACGAAAGUCUGACCGAGAAACGCCGCGGGAGGGAAGAAGGUUUUCGGGUCGGAAAGCUCUGUUGUAAGAGAAGAACGGGUGUGAGAGUGGAAAGUUCACACUGUGACGGUAUCUUACCAGAAAGGGACGGCUAACUACGUG